rnacentral:rRNA from 1 species
AUUGAACGCUGGCGGCAUGCCUUACACAUGCAAGUCGAACGGUAACAGGUUAAGCUGACGAGUGGCGAACGGGUGAGUAAUGUAUCGGAACGUGCCCAGUCGUGGGGGAUAACUACUCGAAAGAGUGGCUAAUACCGCAUACGACCUGAGGGUGAAAGCGGGGGACCGUAAGGCCUCGCGCGAUUGGAGCGGCCGAUAUCAGAUUAGCUAGUUGGUGGGGUAAAAGCCCACCAAGGCGACGAUCUGUAGCUGGUCUGAGAGGACGACCAGCCAGCAUGGGACUGAGACACGGCCCAGACUCCUAAGGGGGGCAGCAGUGGGGAAUUUUGGCCAAUGGACGCAAGUCUGAUCCAGCCAUGCCGCGUGCGGGAAGAAGGCCUUCGGGUUGUAAACCGCUUUUGUCAGGGAAGAAACGAGUUUCUCUAAUACAGAGACUUAAUGACGGUACCUGAAGAAUAAGCACCGGCUAACUACGUGCCAGCCGCCGCCGUAAUAC